CGGCUGAUCUCUGAAGUUGCCAGCAAAAAUUCCAGAGGCUAAAAAAGGGGAGGGUUUAUGUAAGAAACAGAAUACUCAAGAAACACCAGAACGGAGUGAGAUGGGGGAGGAUAGCAACAAAUGAAGCUUGAAUAUAUGGGUGGGGGCCUUUGUAGGAACUGAGGGAUGCCUGGGUCAGUCCUUGAGAUGCAAGGCUGAGACCCCUUGCAGCUGACUACUUGGAGGAGUGCCGACAGCCUUUGCUGUUUCGUGGCAAAUGGCUAAAAGGAGCCUACACGGAGUGGGGAUUCCAGACCAGCCUCAAACAAGGCUGCUAGCUGAGUCUGAUGGGAAGCUGCUGGAAACUUCUGAAAACCCCAGUAAGAGGCGAGACACCACCGGCUUUGCUCCAUCCCUUUGGGAAGACAGCACACCCAGAGCUCAAGUCUGCUGCUCAUUCUGGAAGGGGAGAUGUCCUGGGCCCAGGGUUUGGAAAUGUCUUCUUGGACAAGCUUAAGCCGUCUCAUUGAAGAUUUUCAAUGGCCUUUCGGAAUUACGGGACUUACCCAGCUCUGCCAGGUUUAUUAAUCCAGCCUAUAAGCUUCUCUAGACCUAGGACUAUGGUGCCUGCACAGAAGAUGUGCUCAACAUAUAACUGAUUAAAUAACUUAAUGAGUAAAUGAAGGACUGGACUCGUUUGUGGGCCAUAUUUGGAGGUGACUUUGUAAACUCUAACAGCAUGGGAUUUUAAUAAGCUGUCUUCAUAGCUUGGACCAUGGUAGGUAUUCAAUACAUAUUCAUCGAACGCAAGUGUUCUUCGCAAUCAGGGAACAUUUUAUUUGCUUCAAAUGUGAUAGGAGUUCUGAGCCUACUACCCAUAGGGUCUCAUUCCCAAGGGAGAAAAUUCAAUUAUCAAAAUUUUGAACAGGCCCAAAUCAGAUUUUCUGUCACCCCUUUUUGUGCUUAGGAAUCUGGUGAUGUUGCAACAGCUGUUUAUAAUUGCAACCCAAAUCCCAAAUUAGCAAGGCAAAGUGGAAGAAUCAGCUAGCCAUUACUCCUGGCCCCUUAAAGCACCUUUAAAAAAAACCUGCCGCAGCGACAUUGACACUACUUUUGGAGGCUUUAAAUAACUACCAGUUCUGACUGUGGGCUCCUAAGCUGAGCAGCCCCUGCGCACAUUGUGUCCCUGGCUCCCCUGGUAGCAGAAAGCUAAUCAACACACCCGGGAAACCCCUGUUAGACCUCAGGCUCUGUUAGCAACAACACAACAAACAAAGGGCUUCUGGGUGUGAACUUCUGGCUGCUUCAAGAAUGGUUGCUAAAAUAAGGGGGUCAAAGCUACAGGUGUUCUCAGCCUUCAGAACAAGCUACUAGUGCAGAGUCAAGGCUGGGCAAGUUUGGCUGGGCCUAAGAGAAAGUUCUUAGGGUAAUAGUCAUGGACGGUCAUGGACCAUUCUGCAGACCAAAGUGACAAAGAAGCAAGGUAGCUGUGUUUGUUUUCUUACAGGAC
rnacentral:lncRNA from 10 species